UGUCCAAUCAGGUGGCAGCUGAGUUCUUCAAGUUACUCUCCAGUAGUGGUUCUGUAAGUUGGGGAGAUUCAAGAUGGACGACAGCAGGCGCUCUUUUGCUAUUCAGGCCACAGAACACAAGGACAAGAAUAUGGGACUCGCUGUGAGGAGGACUGACAGCGUUCUGGGCCCCUGUCACUCCUACAUAUGGACAUGAACUGCAAUUUGAUGAGGAGCUGUGAUGCUGCAAAGAAACCUGACUUUUACAGCCAGAGCCUGCCUUGAUGAUCUGGACACAACGCCUUGUUCCUCAACUCUCAUGAGUAUAGUGUAAACAACCUGUGCUUAGCACUAUUAACAAUGCUCCCCUAUAUUUAAACACUAAGUGGUUUUGUCCUUUAUUGGCCUAUUAAAAAAAUCUCCCACACUGUACCCUCCUUUUAAGACAUGGUGCUGAAGUCUUAGUACAGUAUUUUUUUUUUGUCCGUAGCUGGGUUGAAAAAUAGCAGUAGGCGGUUUAAUUUGUAAUGGCUUUAUUGGGGGGCCCUUUAAACAUGUUCUCCCCUAUGGAGAAUCCUAUGUUACAUGCUACUGAAGUUUAGGCAAAAGACAGGAAAUCCUUACUGGUGGGUUCAUCAGGGUAGAGUGCCUCACAUUUUCUCCAUGUGCCUGGACCACAGUUGUGAGGACUUCUCACAACUGCGGUCCAGGCACAUGCACUGUCACAGCAUGGAGAAGAUCUGACUUACUCUAUGCUGAUGACCCCAUCCGGAGGGAUUUCCCACCUUAAAAACUUCAGCAGCUGGCUGAGCUGACAGAACCUGCAAAAGAAAAAAGUAUUGUAAAAGCUUUGAUUUAAAUAAAUGAUCAUUUAUAAAACUUGCCUGUCUCCAUACAU